ACGCAUUUAAGGAGUGGUUCUCGAAGUAUGUUCCCUGGACCAGCGGUAUCAACAUCACCUGGGAAGAUGUAGAAGCACAAAUUCUCCUGCCUACUCCAGACCUACGGAAUUAGAAACUCUGGGGCUGGAGCUCAGUAAUCUGUGAUUUACCAGUCCUCCAGGUGAUUCUGAAACAUGCUCUCGUGUGAGGACCACUGCUGUAAAGGCAAGUCUGUCCACUUGUAAAACCCUGUGAUUCUACCUUGCCUGAUAAUCUUCACCAACUCGAAACUGUAGUGAACUCCAGUCCUUAAGAGGAGAUUCGGACACAGAUGUGCACCAAGGGAAGACCCUGUGAAGAUACAGGGAGAAGACGGCGUCUGCAAGCCAAUGAGAGAGGCCUCAAAAGAAAUCAACCCCGCCAACAUCCUGAUCUCAGACCUCCAGCCUCCAAAACUGAAGAUGUGAGACCAUGCCAGGGAGCUGAAGACAAGGUUUUCCUGAAGGGGAAAGGAAGGUUUCAUUGUGAAGGAUUCCAGAAAGAUCUCUCUCUCUCUCACUCUGGAGAAGGAGGAGGAGGAAGAAAAUGUUCUGGAGUCUGGAAGUCCAAGAUGAAGGUGCCUGCAGAUUCGGUGUCUGUUGAGAACUUUCUUCCUGGUUUGUGGACGGCAGUCUUCUUGCUGCAUCCUCACAUGAUGGAGAGAGAGAGAGGGCUAUGACAGAAGAGAUGGAAGCAGAGGGAACACCCACAGCACAGGAUCAGUCAUCAGCAGUGCUCAGAACAAGGCCUCGGACUCUUCUCUCAAUUCAACUCUUCCAGCAACUCUCCUGUUUUCCCAUCUUGCUUGGAAGAGCGCAGACCAACGGGUAACACAGAUGAAAGCAAUGUUACCAUAAUACUCAGUAUUUAGAAUAAUACCUUUAUUCCAGGGUGCUCUGCAGACAUUACCUCAUUAAUCUUCAUAACAUCUUUAAGAAAGGAGGAGGGAAUAGUUUCUGCCCUCAUUUAAUGGAUGGCAUAGCAAUGGCUUAAGGCCAGGACAUGAUUCAGUGUCAUGGCUGAAACAAAGCCACAUUCCCCAAACCCUCAGGUCGGGGCACCAUCAGCCGCUUCAGGAGUAAGCGUAGCUCUUUGGGGUAGCCAACAGGGAAGGGAUACGACUCCAACACUGGCAGAUGUGGAAGGAGACCAGAUGAAUAAGAUGCUACUCACUGUUACCAAAAGCAUCAAAAGACACUACUCAUUUGUUAUUAUAACAAAUAUUUGUUGAGGACCUGCUAGGAGCACUUUGCUGUUGGAAGGAGCAAGAAAAGGAAAAUGGGGGAAAGCAUGGAAGAAUGACCCAUAAGUCAGACAGGAACACUCCACUCAGAAAGUUUACAUUCGUUCAUUCAUCAGUCAUUCAACAAGCGGAAGCCUCUCAGAUGCCAUUCAAGGUGUGGGGGAUACAAAUAGAUACCAGACCUUGCCUUCAAGAGGAUUAGUCUAUUAGGCUAACCAAAUUUUUAAAACUUGGAGCAUAGAGCAAUACAUGUUGAAGAAAAUUUAUGCUCAUAUUGUUACGGAAGUGCAAAAGAAGAACGUUCAAGUCAGCUUAAGUGAAUCAGGGAAGGUUUCUCAAGGUAUUCGUGGCCUGUGCUAAGACUUGCAAGAUGAGUGAAGUUUAAUUAGGGGAAGGGUAUGCUAAGUAGAGGGAUGAGCUCCCAAGGAAUUGCUGUGUGAAACUCCGAAGUCAUUUGUCUUAACUUGGGGAGGAGUCUCUGCUGGUGGAGGCCCGGGUUGCAGAUGGGAGGACGAGCCCCUAAGAAAAAGAAAACGGCAACGUCAGAGCACGAGGAGCUCAUGCAGCAAGUUCAGGAGUUUAGACUUUACCACAACGGCUUGGGGGACCUACAAGGAUUAUGAGGCCAUUUAGUAGGAUUGUUGCUGCAGUAAUAUAUAGCACACAGGCUAGAAUGAGAGGUA
rnacentral:lncRNA from 1 species